AUUGAACGCUGGCGGCAUGCCUUACACAUGCAAGUCGAGCGGCAGCGCGGGGGCAACUCUGGCGGCGAGCGGCGAACGGGUGAGUAAUACAUCGGAACGUGUCCAGUAGCGGGGGAUAACCUGUCGAAAGAUAGGCUAAUACCGCAUACGACCUACGGGUGAAAGCGGGGGACCGCAAGGCCUCGCACUAUUGGAGCGGCCGAUGUCGGAUUAGCUAGUUGGCGGGGUAAUGGCCCACCAAGGCGACGAUCCGUAGCUGGUCUGAGAGGACGACCAGCCACACUGGAACUGAGACACGGUCCAGACUCCUACGGGAGGCAGCAGUGGGGAAUUUUGGACAAUGGGCGCAAGCCUGAUCCAGCCAUGCCGCGUGAGUGAAGAAGGCCUUCGGGUUGUAAAGCUCUUUCGGCGGGGACGAAACGGUCCGUGACAACACCACGGACUAAUGACUGUACUCGCAGAAGAAGCACCGGCUAACUACGCGC
rnacentral:rRNA from 1 species